ACGGCGGCCUGGCCCACGAGCCGCUCCUGCAGCCCGCUCAGAACUUUUCCGCUAAAAUCACAAACGUGGGCAGCUGUCAUUUUUAAAGCGUGCUGCGGAGAGGAGAGGGAAAGGGAGAGGGGGUGGUGGUGUGUUGUGUGUGCGUGGGGGGGGGAUGUGUGGAGGGGAGAGUCGCGAACCAAACUGCCCCUUCCCAGCUCUCCCCCGGAUCUCCCCUUCCCUCUCCCCGCUCUCCUCUUCCUCCCCCCCAGUCUCCUCCCGUUGUGUUUUAAGGUAGGAAAAAAUAUAUCUAUAUCUAUUUUUUUGUAAUUUUAUUUCCAGGCUCCGUGGCAUCCGGAUCUGUUCGUGUCUCUUUCGUAGGCGAAAAAAAAGAAUAAUCAGGAGGGGGGGGGGGGGAAAUAACCCUAUUUCACCCCGCCAGCGCCAAAGCGUAUUUAUAAUGCGGCCGUAACGUAACGUAACCAACGUUUGCGGGGGAGGGGGGCGAAGAAGGGUCUGAGGGUCCGAAAUAUUUUCUCUGAGAGCUUUGGGUUUGGCUUUAAAAGGUACCGCUUAGGGUACGCGUUGAAGAAGAAGAGAAGUCGGUGAAACUCAGGACUGCGGUUUAAUUAUUAUUAAUUAUUAUUAUUAUUAUUAUUACUAUUUUUUUUUUUUCCAAUGGACGUUCAAAUGGACGUUGAAAGCAGAUCCGAUCCGUCGCGAAGUUCGGAGAUUCCCACCCCGGUUUUUCGCUCCCCCCCCCUUUUCCGACCCCAUCCUUGCGUGGGUUUUUGGUGUAUCGGUAAUUAUUUGUAUAUAGAUUAUUCGGGAACUGAUGAGCGAACUCCUCGCUGGUUGUGCAUCCAUCGUAUCUAUUUUAUUGAGAGAGAAUCUGUGAAUCAUUUUCGAUGUGGAAAAAAAAAAAAAGGGGGCGACGGCUUUUUUUUUAUUAUUAUUUUUAUUUUAAUUUUUUUUUUUGUCCACCCGUUGGUGUAAAUUAAUAAAUGUUUGUGACCUGGUUUUAAAAGGAGGGAAAAAAAAAAAAAAGAGAGAGAAAAAAAAACCAAACGAAAACCAAGCAAACAACAAAAAGCGGAAUGCCGAUGCUUCUUUGCGAUGUCCUUUGUCACGGAGCCCCGUUCGGGCCUCGGGGGGAGCGGAGCGGUCCCACCGUCGGCGCUGCGCGGUGCGCCCACAGCCGCGGGUCCGUCCGCCGUCCGAAG
ensembl:lncRNA